UACGUAGGGACCAAGCGUUGUCCGGAAUCAUUGGGCGUAAAGAGCGUGUAGGCGGCUUGUUAAGUCUUGCGUGAAAUCUCGGGGCUCAACCCCGAGCGGUCGUGAGAAACUGGCAGGCUAGAGUGCGGGAGAGGAGAGUGGAAUUCCUGGUGUAGCGGUGAAAUGCGCAGAUAUCAGGAAGAACACCCGUGGCGAAGGCGGCUCUCUGGACCAGCACUGACACUGAGGCACGAAAGCGUGGGGAGCAAACAGG
rnacentral:rRNA from 1 species